rnacentral:rRNA from 1 species
CACAGAGUUAGCCGGUGCUUAUUCUGUCGGUAACGUCAAAACACUUACGUAUUAGGUAAAUGCCCUUCCUCCCAACUUAAAGUGCUUUACAAUCCGAAGACCUUCUUCACACGCGGCAUGGCUGGAUCAGGCUUUCGCCCAUUGUCCAAUAUUCCCCACUGCUGCCUCCCGUAGGAGUCUGGACCGUGUCUCAGUUCCAGUGUGACUGAUCAUCCUCUCAGACCAGUUACGGAUCGUCGCCUUGGUGAGCCAUUACCUCACCAACUAGCUAAUCCGACCUAGGCUCAUCUGAUAGCGCAAGGCCCGAAGGUCCCCUGCUUUCUCCCGUAGGACGUAUGCGGUAUUAGCGUCCGUUUCCGAACGUUAUCCCCCACUACCAGGCAGAUUCCUAGGCAUUACUCACCCGUCCGCCGCUCGCCACCAGGUACAAGUACCCGUGCUGCCGCUCGACUUGCAUGUGUAGGCCUGCCGCCAGCGUUCAAUCUGACGCCAGGAUCAAACU